rnacentral:rRNA from 1 species
UGAGGAAUAUUGGGCAAUGGGCGCAAGCCUGACCCAGCCAUGCCACGUGAGUGAUGAAGGUCUUCGGAUUGUAAAGCUCUUUCGGAUGUGAAGAUGAUGACGGUAGCAUCUAAAGAAGCCCCGGCAAACUUCGUGCCAGCAGCCGCGGUAAUACGAAGGGGGCGAGCGUUGUUCGGAAUUACUGGGCGUAAAGGGAGUGUAGGCGGUUAUGUAAGAUAGGGGUGAAAUCCCAGGGCUCAACCUUGGAAUUGCCUUUAUAACUAUGUAACUAGAGUAAUGGAGAGGAUAGUGGAAUACCCAGUGUAGAGGUGAAAUUCGUAGAUAUUGGGUAGAACACCGGUGGCGAAGGCGACUAUCUGGCCAUUUACUGACGCUGAGGCUCGAAAGCGUGGGGAGCAAA